UACGUAGGGUGCAAGCGUUAAUCGGAAUUACUGGGCGUAAAGCGUGCGCAGGCGGUUAUGUAAGACAGAUGUGAAAUGCCCGGGCUCAACCUGGGAACUGCAUUUGUGACUGCAUGGCUAGAGUGUGUCAGAGGGGGGUAGAAUUCCACGUGUAGCAGUGAAAUGCGUAGAGAUGUGGAGGAAUACCGAUGGCGAAGGCAGCCCCCUGGGAUAACACUGACGCUCAUGCACGAAAGCGUGGGGAGCAAACAGG
rnacentral:rRNA from 1 species